GUCACAAUUUACCCAAGAUGAGCACAACCAGGUCUGUAUGGCAGCCUCUGACGUGUCCAAGGUAUUCUACCUGAAGGGCUGAUGUGGACUGUCCUCUCAUCCUUCAUUGAUUAUCUGGUCAACUGGCAGAUGGUUGACCCCAUCCUGAGAGGCUCCAGUUAGUAGUUGCUGCUAGGAGAUGAAGUGAAUUUCACAAGAAAGACAUAAGAAGCCAACAACUGGUAAUUUAUCAUUAAGGAGGUGGCAGUAAGUUAUAGUUAUAAUGUGAGACAAAAUUAAUGUG
rnacentral:lncRNA from 1 species